rnacentral:rRNA from 1 species
AUACGUAGGGUGCGAGCGUUGUCCGGAAUUACUGGCGUAAAGAGCUCGUAGGUGGUUUGUCGCGUCGUCUGUGAAAUUCCGGGGCUUAACUCCGGGCGUGCAGGCGAUACGGGCAUAACUUGAGUACUGUAGGGGAGACUGGAAUUCCUGGUGUAGCGGUGAAAUGCGCAGAUAUCAGGAGGAACACCGGUGGCGAAGGCGGGUCUCUGGGCAGUAACUGACGCUGAGGAGCGAAAGCAUGGGUAGCGAAAAGGAUUAGAUACCCUGGUAGUCCAUGCCGUAAACGGUGGGCGCUAGGUGUAGGGGUCUUCCACGACUUCUGUGCCGUAGCCAACGCAUUAAGCGCCCCGCCUGGGGAGUACGGCCGCAAGGCUAAAACUCAAAUGAAUUGGCGGGG